rnacentral:tRNA from 1 species
GCCCCAGUGGCUCAAUAGCUGAGCGCUCAGCUGUUAAUUGAAAGGUUGGUAGUUCAAACCACCCAGAGGCU